AGCAUUGCCCGGUAGCUACGUUCGGAAUCGAUAACCGCUGAAAGCAUCUAAGCGGGAAGCGAGUCCUAAGAUGAGUCAUCCCUAGGAAUUUAAUUCCUCUAAAGAGCCGUUCGAGACUAGGACGUUGAUAGGCAGGGUGUGUAAGCGUUGUGAGGCGUUGAGCUAACCUGUACUAAUGACUCGUGAGGCUUAACCAUACAACCCAGAUGAGUUU
rnacentral:rRNA from 1 species